CCUACGGGUGGCAGCAGUGGGGAAUAUUGCACAAUGGGGGAAACCCUGAUGCAGCGACGCCGCGUGAGUGAAGAAGUAUUUCGGUAUGUAAAGCUCUAUCAGCAGGGAAGAAAAUGACGGUACCUGACUACGAAGCCCCGGCUAACUCCGUGCCAGCAUCCGCGGUAAUACGUAGGGGGCAAGCGUUAUCCGGAUUUACUGGGUGUAAAGGGAGCGUAGACGGCAGCGCAAGUCUGAAGGGAAAUCCCAGGGCUUAACCAUGGAACUGCUGGGGAAACUGGGCGGCUGGAGUGCAGGAGAGGUAAGCGGAAUUGCUAGUGUAGCGGUGAAAUGCGUAGAUAUUAGGAGGAACACCAGUGGCGAAGGCGGCUUACUGGACUGUAACUGACGUUGAGGCUCGAAAGCGUGGGGAGCAAACAGGAUUAGAUACCCCAGUAGUC
rnacentral:rRNA from 1 species